UACGGAGGGUGCAAGCGAUACUCGGAAUCACUGGGCGUAAAGGGCGCGUAGGCGGCCUAGCAAGUCUGGUGUGAAAGCCCAGGGCUCAACCCUGGAAGGGCACUGGAAACUGUUAGGCUUGAGUUCCGGAGAGGAGGGGGGAAUUCCCGGUGCAGCGGUGAAAUGCGUAGAUAUCGGGAGGAAUACCGGUGGCGAAGGCGCCCCUCUGGACGGAAACUGACGCUGAGGCUCGAAAGCGUUUGGAGCAAACAGG
rnacentral:rRNA from 1 species